AUCUUCAGGGCGGGGUGCAAUUCCCCACCGGUGGUAUAGCCCACGAGCCGCAUGGCAUGAUUCGGUGAAACUCCGAAGCCGACCGUAUAGUCUGGAUGAAAGAAGAU
rnacentral:ncRNA from 1 species